rnacentral:rRNA from 1 species
AGUGAACGCUGGCGGUAGGCCUAACACAUGCAAGUCGAACGGCAGCACAGGAGAGCUUGCUCUCUGGGUGGCGAGUGGCGGACGGGUGAGGAAUACAUCGGAAUCUACCUUUUCGUGGGGGAUAACGUAGGGAAACUUACGCUAAUACCGCAUACGACCUACGGGUGAAAGUGGGGGACCGCAAGGCCUCACGCGAUUAGAUGAGCCGAUGUCCGAUUAGCUAGUUGGCGGGGUAAUGGCCCACCAAGGCGACGAUCGGUAGCUGGUCUGAGAGGAUGAUCAGCCACACUGGAACUGAGACACGGUCCAGACUCCUACGGGAGGCAGCAGUGGGGAAUAUUGGACAAUGGGCGCAAGCCCGAUCCAGCCAUACCGCGUGGGUGAAGAAGGCCUUCGGGUUGUAAGGCCCUUUUGUUGGGAAAGAAAUCCUAUCGGUUAAUAACCGGUGGGGAUGACGGUACCCAAAGAAUAAGCACCGGCUAACUUCGUGCCAGCCGCCGCUGUAACAC